GCGGCAGUUUCCUCCCGCGUCCCCUCCCCACGGGGCCAACAUGGCCAGUGUAAGCUGUUCAGGGGUGCGAGGACCAGGACGAGGAAACUCUGAAGAAGUUGAUAGUCAGAUUGAACAACGUCCAGGAAGGAAAGCAGAUAGACACGCUGGUCCAAAUCCUGGAGGACAUGCUGGUGUUCACAUACUCCGAACACGCCUCCAAGUUGUUUGAAGGCAAAAAUUUCCACGUGCCUCUGUUGAUCGUCUUGGACUCCUACAUGAGAGUGGCGAGUGUACAGCAGGUGGGUUGGUCGCUUCUGUGCAAAUUAAUAGAGGUCUGUCCAGGUACAAUGCAAAGCUUAAUGGGUCCCCAGGAUAUUGGAAAUGAUUGGGAAGUCCUCGGUGUACACCAACUGAUUAUUAAAAUGCUAGCAGUUCAUCAUGCCAGUGUAAACCUGUCAACAGUUGGACUAAAGGCCUUAGAUCUUCUCCUGACUUCAGGAAAAAUCACACUGCUGAUACUGGAUGAAGAAAGUGAUAUUUUCUUGUUAAUUUUUGAUGCCAUGAAUACAUUUUCAAACAAUGAUGAAGUCCAGAAACUGGGAUGCAAAGUUUUACAUGUGCUGUUUGAGAGAGUUUCUGAGGAACACCUAACUGAAUUUGUUGAGAACAAAGAUUAUAUGGUAUUGCUCAGUGCACUCAACAGUUUUAAAGGUGAAGAGGAAAUUGUGCUUCAUGUACUACACUGUUUGCAUUCUCUAGCAAUUCCUUGCAAUAAUGUUGAAGUCCUUAUGAGUGGUGAUGUCAGAUGUUACAAUAUUGUCGU
rnacentral:lncRNA from 1 species